rnacentral:misc_RNA from 1 species
ACAUCGCGUCGCCACACCUCGACUCUCCUCCGCUCUUCCCCGCUCUCCCCAUCUGACCCCCCUCCUGCCUACUGCCUCCUCUCUCCUCGUCCGCUGUGCUGCGUCGUUUCUUUUGGCUUGUCGCUUCUUUAUGUGGCGAUGUCCGGGUUGCUGUUUCCAUCGCUUCGGUGUCUUCCUGCUGUGCCUGUGGAUUAUAAGAGGACCCUCGUUCUCUACGUGGUGCUCCAGUUCGUGGCGUUUAUUCUGUUGCUGGUGGGAACGCCGCUGGACAUUUUCCGCUCAAGACCUGCUGGGAUGUCGAAGACGCUAAUUUGUAUCACCUUGUGGGGUUUCAAGAACGACUGCUCAUCACUUCAUUCUGACCUCACGUUGGACGAUAUAUUUCAUUACUGCCCUGAUCGACUAAGGCGUUUUCGUGCUCUGCAGAUAUUCGUGAUUGUCUCUAUCGUCGUGUACGGCGCUGCGUUUAUCGCGGGCUUUACUUUACUGUUCUGCUUCGCUGUCUUGCGCCUUACCUGCAUGGCGCUCAACAUCGUUGGCAGUGUAAUUUUAUGCGUUGCGAUAGUAAUCGUGGCUGCCACGUUCAGCAAGGACGAUGGCCAACAUUGCAUGCGACUUAGCAGUAUAGGGUAUAGACUCGGUGCGAGCUUUUUUCUUUUUUUGGUGGCCUGGAUACUGGAUAUCAUCAACAUGAUCAUCCUCCUGCUCCCCUAUACCGACACCGAGAGUGCUGUUGAUAAAAAGGCAGAGCCACCGACAGCGCAGGAGUAGGAUGGAGGCAGUAGGAGGGAGCGGGUAGCGCGGUUGAGAGCGGAGCUGUCCCUCUCCCACACCAGCGUCCUCGUGGUGGAGCUGGUGUCGGCGAGGAUGAGGGUGCGCAAGCUGCGGGUUCCCGUGUGUGCCCUUCGCCGGCCCAGCCCUCUCGCUCCCUGUCGUGUGUGCGUGCGCGUGCGCGGGCAGCAGCGGCACCGCCGUGCACAGGCACCGCUGCCGAGGGGCGAUUGCAGCACUUCCCCCAUGCCUGCGUGUGAUACACGGCGGCUGCGUGUGUGCAGGCGCAUGCGCCCCUGCGACCCUCCUCCCUCUUCUUCCGUGAGCGGCCCCCGCGACCAUCGCUCACUUACGCUGCCGUUGUUCGCGGGUGCCGCCCCACGCUCUCGCCUUACUCGACGCUCGUCUCUUUCGAGCUCGCUCAUGCUUGCUGUUCUGCUCUGCGCGCAGAGAGAGGUGCGUGGUGUGUGCGUGUGCGUGCGCCUCUGCGCCUCCCUCCGCUGCUCGCGCCCUCCCUGUGUGCGUGUGCUGGCGGAGGCGGCUGGCUGUGGCGACGACGCAGGCACGUGCAGCAGCCGUGCAGCACAGCAGGCGCGUACACGCAUACACACCUAUACACGCGGGAACGGGACUGCAGGCGAGGGGCAGGACCGGAGAAUGCGCGGCGACACGAGCGAGUGCGACGGUGGAGCGAAGCAGCGGCGGCGCUGCUUUCCUGCUCGCUCCUCUGGCGUCUGGCUCGAGCCCGUCUGCGUGUGCGCCCCCUGUGUCGCUGUGUCUCCUCGCCUCUCUCCUGCGCGAUUUGUUUCGAUGGCUUCGUUGCUGACGCACCCCACGGAGUCCUCCAGGCUCCGCCGUGUGGAGUUGCCACGCCGUAUGUGACGGGUUGCAGCGCACCGACGCGACUGUGGGGAGAGAAGCACUGCAUCCAGGUCGACUACACUGCAGGGCCUCACAGGGCCCUGACCGGAGGCUGGGCAGCAUUCUCCCUCGGCUCGUGCGGCACGUAGAGCCACCGCUCCCCACGAACGCCCUGCUACCCUUUGCUACCCCUCCCCACCGACGGAGGCCAGCGCCUCCGUCAUGGAGCACGACCCUGAGGGGGCGGCCCCGCUGGGAGCGCGGCGUGCCGUGCGCCCCGGUGCGUGUGGCGCCGAUGCAGCGGCAGGACGGCUCGUCCUCGACGACGCAGAUGUGGCCGCCGUGCCACAGGGCGUAGGCGGGCCGUGGCUGUACGCGCGCAUCUGCCGGCUUGUGCGUGGUGGCGUGGAGGCGGUGAGAAGGAAGUGCAUGCCUCGCGGACUCGGACAGACAUGCGAAUCAGCACACCUAAACAUAAGCAAAACGACGCGUGCAUAUAUGCACCGAUAUCUAUAUCUAUAUAUAUAUAUAUAUGGCUGUGCGGAUGUCUGUAACGACAAAACCGCCAAACGCCUGUUAUUACGCUGUCCUCGCCUGGCAGGGCGGAGGGCGUGCGUGCGCUUUUUACUCCUCUCUUGCUUGUCCUGUGUUUCCUUUGCGGCACGCCUUCCUGCGCGCGUGCCUGCUCGUUAUCAUGCUUGCUUCCGUUGUCCG